rnacentral:snRNA from 1 species
GUUCUUGCUUCGGCAGCACAUAUACUAAAAUUGGAAUGAUACAGAGAUUAGCAUGGCCCCUGCACAAGGAUGACAGGCAAAUUCGUGAAGGGUUCCAUAUUAAA